UACGUAGGCAGCAAGCGUUGUUCGGAGUUACUGGGCGUAAAGAGUGUGUAGGCUGUUCUCUAAGUUUGGUGUGAAAUCUCCCGGCUUAACUGGGAGGGUGCGCCGAAAACUGGGGAGCUCGAGUAUGGGAGAGGAAAGCGGAAUUCCUGGUGUAGCGGUGAAAUGCGUAGAUAUCAGGAGGAACACCUGCGGUGUAGACGGCUUUCUGGACCAUCACUGACGCUGAGACACGAAAGCGUGGGUAGCAAACAGG
rnacentral:rRNA from 1 species